ACUACUUUUGAGCUUUUUACUGGUUUGCUUAUAGAGGUAAGUAUAAAUGGGAUUUUUUAAAUGGAUGGUGUUGAUUUCUAUCUCUCUGGAAAACCAGAAGAGUUCUAUUGAUUGUGCCCUCUCUGAUAGGUUCUUCUCAAAGAUGUUUUAAAACCUACUAGUUUGAUUGUCUCAUUUUAGAAUGGCUUGAACUGGGUUUUCGCACUUGAAUCACAGGUCCAUAGCCUUUAACAUUGCUUUUUCUUGAGAAAUAAGCAGUCUUUUCUUGUGUUGUUAUUUGUGCCUUGGGCAGAGUUGCCAGGAGAGCAGAGGGUGUGUAGUGUGGAUGUUUCUUUAACCUACCUUUUCCUUCCAGUAUGUCUGUGUUGCAGAAGUACAGCUGUCCACAAAUCUGCAUAGAGGGAUCCACUGGACACUUCUUUUCUAGAAAUUGCCCAAAGACAAACCCUCUGCCAGUGAGAAGCAUUCAGGAAUCUCAUAUCAACUUUUAACCUCCCUUUCCUUCACCAUUUUUUUCUGGAAGCUGAACAGAAAAGUAAAAUGAAGAUCUCAGACAGUGCUGUAAUACCCAUAGGCUGACAAUUUCAGACUCAUUAACUUGCAACAUGACAAUAUGCCUUUUUGGACACUAAUCUACACUUGUGCAACAGGAGUGUCAUCGCUGCAUGCCUUGGAACGUUGUAGGCGUAGGAGUCAGGGGCUUGAAAGGAUUAGGCACUGGCAAUAAAUUUUGGCAGUGCCUUGGACUAGGACGUGCUAAUCUGUACAACGCAUGCAGAUCGAAUAAACAUGGAAGUGAAGCCUUAAAAAGUUGAAGUCAUUUCCACGCAAAGUCCAUGCAAUCCAGUAGCUUCAUCACUGCACUAAGAACUGGUCUUUCCUAGGAGGAUUAUUGAUGAGGAUCUGAACUGUGGUAGAGAUGUCUCCAGGCUGACACUGAUGGUCCCACAUUGAUGUACAUCUGGAACAAGUGAGGCAGGAAAGAUACAGUGCAACUGCAGUUUGACUCCAUUUGACAGAAGCAUCAGCACAGAGAUGAAACAGCUUUGCCCCAGAGCUACCUCAGCUCAGUGUACCUCUGAAAUGGAGUUUGAAACUGAACACUGACAUUCAGAGACUUAAGUCUGUGGCUGAAUUGUAAGCCUGUCUUAAGUCAUGAGGAUUUAGACAAGAACUGUCACUGGAUAAAAGAAAGGAGAAGCACUGUGAAGCAUUAUACUCUUGCUUUGUGGCGAUUUUUGUACUAUGUGUUCUCUUCUAAUCCAUUUACUCUCACUACCUCCCAGAUCAAUCAUCACGUUGAUCUUUCUUGCUCCUACAGACCUUGUGGCUGCAGUUCCCUGGAAAUAUCUGAAGAGCAAUGAGGUUGUGUAAGCAGUAAUGUUCUCCUCAGGCUUUUUGACAGCAGAACUUCAAAGUUAAUCUUAUGGGGCUUAAUUUGUUCACUUAAGAUGUUACUUUGUACAUGCUUUAAGUACCAGCACUGUGCUGGGUUCUUCUACAUGUUUCUUCCCAUGUGUGAGCAGUGACAUCACUGAAAAGCAGUGGAGUGCCCUGUGCUGUUGUCAGUAACCUUGGUGGGGUCAGAACAAAGUAAAAAAACUCCUCAUUGUUCUCUAAACAGCAUUUGGUGAGAGGAGAGAGGAGGGGUCUGGUGUUUCUCUCUUAUUCAUUCCUGCCACAGUAACAGUAUGUCCUCUGCUGGAGGAGGCAGUCACUGGGAUGGAUAGGAGCUGUAGAUUUCCUGUACUAAUCUUUUUGGUACUAAUUUUCUGUACUAAUCCUUUGGUAGAAUUUCAUGAAUUAAGAAGCAUGUAUGUCACAGCUGUGGCCGGAUUCCAGUCCAAACCCUUAGUGCUAAGUUUUCUAUGGAUUGUCUCACCUCUUGCUCCUGGCUUAAGUAAAUCACUCUUUGGUUUUACCAUAUCAGGGGGUAUCGGGUUAAUCUGGUUGCUGUUUUCCAUCAUCCAUGACCACAUUUCUUGUUGGGAAUAGGAACUGUGAAAUGACCCUAAAACUGAGUAUGACUUUUGUACUUCUAAAAUAAUGGUAGCUGUUAUUAAAUAUUCUGUUUCUACACCUGAAAGGUCUUUGGUCUACAGAUCACAGAACAGGCCAGUGGAGGGAAUUUUCAUCUGAAAGGUGUCAUGAAGUUUAGCAGAAAUACUUAAUAAGUGAAGUGAUGGGAACAUUAAAUGCUAAUUAAUGGUGUAGCUUGCAUUUUGAGAUCAUUAUUGCAUGGACUGGGUACCUGAUGCAGUAUCACCAUCUGAUGCAUGAGGAAGUGAAUCAUCAUUACACGUUUUAUGCCUAAAAAACUCUAAAUGUGAAAGACCUCAGGUAGUUCAGCUUGGGUAUAAAUGAUCUGCAGCAGUGAUUGAGGACUGUAUAGAAUUGUAAUAGUUUCUAUCUGCUAGAAAUUAAUUUCAGGAAAGCACAUGACUUGUUUGGUUCACUGUACUUUUGCUAAUAGAAAAUGAGAGCUUUCAUCAGCCACAGGAAGUUUUGCAUUGAAUGAGGAUCCUUGUCUCAUAGCAGAUGUACUUAUUUGCAUGGGAGUGAGCUGAUUUCCAAUGAUCAGCUCAGAAUGGAUUCAGCAAAUCCAGCUAGUACAUGCCAUUUCCUGCUGAGAAGUGUGGAGGGAGCUGAAAUAAUAUGUGCAAACAUAGAGAAAGGAUAAUGGAUAUAUGUGAAGAGCUUGGCUGAGUAUGUUUAAGCAUUUUGGUCUGGUGGGAUGUUACAAAUGACUCAGACCCCAGGCAGGAAUGAGUAAAUAAAAUAUAACUAGAACCCGUUAAAGUUAAAAAGCAAAGCUCUGAGAGUGUAGUGAGACUCUCCUCACCAGAGGCUCGCCCACAAAAUGGCAUGUCCACCUUUUAUAUAGUCAAGGUGGAAUCAGCUACAUUAAUAUUCAUGAACAGUUCUGAUAUGUCCUCCCAUCGCCUCCCACAGUCCCUGGCUUUUCCCAUAGCUGUAGAUCUGGCUCCUCCCAAGGUCUGUCAGUCCUCCUGCCUUUCACUGGUGGAGCCUCUGUCACAUCUUGAUGGCUGUGCAGUGUUACCCUGCCAGGCCUCCUGGCACACUGUGCCCCCCACUCACUGCUGCCUCCUGCAAGGGACAAGUGUGUGUCCCCCCCAAAAUGUUUUGACAGCCCUGUCAGCCAGAGCUGCCAGGCAGUAACCGCAGAAAGGAAGGGGAGGAUUGAGGGGAGAACAGAAAAUUGGAACCAAAAUUGGAACCAAAAAACCAAAUUGGAACCACAGAAGUACAUGUCAAAAGAGCUGUAAACCUUAACAGAACUUCCCACCAUACUUAAUAACUCCUCCUAAUUUGCAUUAGCCAAUCACUACACCUUAUUCAUAACAUGGGAUAACUUGUGAUAGAAUGAAAAGUUGCUUCUUAAAGCUGUUUAAUGAGAAUUUGCUAUGAAAUUUGACACUGUCUGGAAAAAAAAAAUACCAGUUUUCUCAUAUCUUGGUCUUCAGGUGAGAAAAUAAUCCUCCGUAUAACUAACAAGAAAGGAUAUUGGAUACCUGAUUUUUAUAAGGAGUGUGUGGUGCUCUUGGAUCACUGAACAGUUGCUGCAAAUGCAGAAGAUGAUCAGCCAUAUCACUUGCUCUGUUUCAGCUAGAACUGGACUUCGCCAGGAUUUUAAAAGAUGUAACUAUUUUUGUUUGUGAUGAGACUUUGUUUAACUUGAAUGGUUAAAUUGCCUUUUCAGGGUCAUGUUCACCUAGGUUCAAUUUGGUUUGCCCUUUUCUGUGUAACCAAGGCAGAAGCUUGGUUACACUCGAUAUCCAGCUUUCAAAACAUACUUCAUCUGAAUUUCACUGCUUGGAAACAAAAAUAAUUUGUGUGGUUCUUGUUCUUUUGGAGUGUGGAAGUUAUGGCCUGCUUUUCCUCUAGGAAGAGUCACUGAAACACCCUUCCUCCCUUUUAUGGUGGCAUUCUGGCAGUCCCUUGUUGGGAAAGUCACCCAGGAAAGGACAUACUCUGCUUGUAAGUGAGAGUGGUGUGGCCAGUGCAGAAGUUUGUGCUUUGUGGCCAUGGGGACUUCCUGUUUUAUGUUCACUGUAGUCUCCCACUGCUGUUUUCCAUUGCCAGCACUAGAUUUUUAGGGAUCAGCAUCAGGGAUAUCUUAAAUAUUGUCCAAAUUUUAAAUAAUUUCCAGUUCUUUGUCCCUGGCAUGUCAUGGUUGGUGUUUCAGUGGACAUACCUCAAAGGACAGAUGAGGUUUUUGAGCAGAACUUAGAUGUACUCUCCAGGGAGAAAAAAAAAAGGUGGUGAAUUUUCAUGUACCAAUAAAAGUGCAAAUGUAUUUUGAUACUAUUCUUGUCAAAAUAAAUGUGACAACCAAUGGAUUCUCAAAGAGUUCUGACUCAUUAAGGCAAUUAGUCUGGAGUGCUGCUAGCCAGGAACCGAUUAAAAUAAAAACCAGAUGACAGAUUUGUUUUACAAGUCUGGCUUAAGUUUUGAUUGCACUGCUCCCUGUAUUGGUUAAGAAAAUCAAUGUUUAGCAGAGAUGGAUAGCUCUAGAGAAAAGUCCUGGUGCAGCAUUCUGCUCCUGCUGGCAGUGCUUUCAGAAGACACAAGGUGGCAGUCGGGGAAGGUCUGCAUCCAGUGGCCACUAGUAAUCAGGAAAGGCAUCUUGCAGAGGUUUUUGGCUUCACUUUCAAAUUUUGAUUCUGAAUGACUCAGUCUAGUUUGACAGUUCCAGGAGACAGACUGAGGCCACACCAGUUGCCAGAUGCCAGCCGCUGCCACCCUGCUUGCCGUGCUGGUACAUCAGCCCAAGGACAGGUGUGAAGUGUGGGCUGCAAACUUCUUGGGGAUUGUGGUUUCUAGUGAGCCCUGAAAUUCAGCAGGGUAGUCAAGUCUAGCACACGUGUGUUACAGCCUGGCCAUCCUCCUAGAUACUCUCUAGCACCUUUGCAAUGCUGUUUCAAGGGCCCAGCUUGCUGGUGCGCUCUCAAAGUUGCUGUGCUGCCUGGCAAUAGGUGAUGAUCAUGGUUCAGUUUUACUGGGCUGGAGGGUUAAUGACUUUCUCACUUGAAUAUUUAAAGGUUGGAGAGUCUACAAGGAGAGGUUUGAUUCUGAAGACUGCUUUUGAGCAUGCCAGACUUGAAGAGAUUCAUCACUGCACCACCACUGGCCAAAGGCCAAAACUCAAAACUGCAGUGCUAAAACUCUCCUCUUUCAGAGGGUGUCCUCUCCCACCACUGGUGGAUGAGAUGGAGAGCAACAAACAAACGUAAAAGCAGCUGUGUCUGGAUCCACUGGGAUCCUUCCACACUAAACAAAACCAUAAGGGAUCCCUUAUGGGAUCAGAGAGUCAAGGGGCAGGAGGAGUCAGGGGCAGGAGCUGGGUGUUCCUCUCAUCCAGGGGUUUUUCAGAUGUUUUUCUGUCCUGGCAAAGUUGCCAAAAACUGAUGCCUGGAAAGUCUACCUAGAACAGAGUCUAGACAAUGUUAAAGGAAUAAAUUGGGCAUUUAUUAAAAAAGCCCUGAAAGGAUACAGCUUGGGCAGUACAAGAGCCUGGCUGAGGCUACAGCCAAGAUGGACCAUGGGUCACACAUUUCCAGACUUUUUAUAAAAGUUUUGGUCCAUUUACAUACAGGGGUUAAUUGUCCAGUUACAGCUUCAGGUUAUGAAGUCCCAUCCUCCCAGACUGCUCUCCUCAAUUCGCUGUUGUUUAUACUUUUUAGGCCUGAAGCUGCAAUAGUGUCCUUGAUUCUUGGGCUGGAAAAGAAUUGUUUUGUCUAAAUAAACUGUGAGGAGAACUUGCUAACACUUUAUAUGAACUUCAGAAUUAUAUUUUACACAGUACAGAAUCUGGAAGACAUGAAAGCUAAAACUUGAGGCAUCACUUUAGUCAGAGGCUGAACCCAGGAAAGCUGUGUAGCAGGAAUAGCAAUAAUUCAGGGCAAAAGAUACUUGGGAAAUUCACCAGUCCAGCCUCCUGCUGGAGGAUCAGCUUUGAGGUGGGAUCAGGUUGCUCUGGUCUUUAUCUGGUUUUACCUUGAAAACCUUUCAGAACAUACAGUGAAACACUCUGGGCAAUCUGCUCACUGAUUUAUUUGUUUUAGUAAAUUGGCAUUCUAUUUGUUAUUAUUGUUCAUUUACUUUCUAGUCUUUAGAUUAAUCUUUCAUGUUUCUGGUUUUACCAAGAGAGACAGAAAGUUUUUUUAUGGCUUCUAAGGAAGUUCUGGGCAGGGAGUGGGGAUUAACCCAUGCAUUGCAAGAGUUUCAAAGUGAAACAAAACAGCAUUGCCAUUGUGAAGCACCUGGUUUACAUCAGUCUAGAGAUCAUGUUCCUGUGGCAGAUUUUUCCUCUAUGUGAUGAUAAUGGUGUAGGCAGUGCAACCAUAGUGUUUGUUUGUGGUGGAAUAUUGUGUUAACCUGGCAUGUGGUGUGAUAUGUUUGUUAAUACUGGCUGGUUUGUUGAUGGGGAGCCUUGUUUCAAUUUGGCUGCAUCAUAGUUGUCAGGUCUUUCCCUUUAUAACCUACUCACUCUGUGCAAGUUACAUUAAGGAAGUAAUAAAUUAAUGGCAGUGGGCUUUCCCUAGCUGAAAUUAGCUGUUGACCUUAGAGUACCAUAAAGUACAUCUGCAAAAAGCCCCUGCCAGUUUUCCAGGUGGGCUUGAGGAAGCCUCUGAGUGGCUUUUUGUGAGUUAAUGUCCGGAGGAGGAGUAGUGGAGAUGGUGUGAAUGUUACAUGUUUUGCUACAAGAGCUGGUAAUUGCUUGAAUGAGUGGACUUCCUGAUUCAGAGGUAAAGAAUGAAUGGUCUCUCCUCACAGUUUCACAUUUAUUAUAAAAGGUACUUUAGCAGCUUGGUGGUGUCUGCAGCCCCACGCAAGGGCUGCCUAGACAAUUGUUUCCACUGCUUGAGAAAAAGUCCAUCUGACGCACCAAUGGGAAGUUGACACUUUCAGUUCAUUAAAGUGAACAUCUAUGAGUGCAUGUACUCAGCUGAGAAUGUUUCAGCUUCUAAGAAGGGUCUGAAAAAGGCUUAAACUUCAAAAGCUUUAUUGUCCAAAGGCACGGAUUGUUACUGCUCAGCUCCCUCCUGCUGUAGCUCUGGGACUAAUUGUGUAGUUGGUAUUUGAUUGUUGCAGCAGGUUUGCCGUAGUCCUUGACCUUGCUUUGUUUAAAAAUCGUAAUUAAAAUGGUGGCUUUCUGUGUUUGCAAGGUAACAAUGAAUUUGGAACAUGUAAAGGAACUUGCCUGGCUGAUAGUUCAGUGAAGGGAUCUUUACAGAGACCUGAUAAUAUACUGAUGUUUCACUUAAAUUUAAAUAUUUUUCUGUUUUGGUCUCUUCACAGAGCUAAUGUACCUGUCUGUAUUUUUCCUUCAAAUUGGCUAUUACUGUGCUCCACUGGAAGGUGCCCCUGUAGGGGUUUUUCCCCCUCUAUUUUCUUCUAAUGGUUGCUCUGAUGUACUCUAAGGGGACUUUUUAAUAUUAGAGUGUAAUAGGAUUAAAUUUCAGCCACCAAAUCUCUGAUGUAAAUCCUUUGGUAAUGAGGGAAGCAAUGGUAUCAGCUUUUCUGGUAUGGUUGAGAGGGCAGCACUGUUUGGCCCUAUCUUGUUCUCACCUGAGAUAUUGCUGUCUAAAAACAUAACUCUAGAGAUAUCAGUAUCUGGCAGUAGUGUAUAUGGAUAAGAACUGUUAGUGAAAUUCAAGUCACCAUUUUGGGUAAGCAUUGUUAUGUCUUCUGUCUUUGAAAUACACCAGCUUUUUAGCUUUGGCAUAGUUGUGGUUAAGUUGUGACAGGGUGAAAUGACACUUUGUUUCUUCUUUGGAUAGCAAGAGUUAGUGGUAAUCCCUGAGAAUUUUAAUCAUAGCUAAUUCAGGUUCGAAGGGACAUCCCCAGGUCAUCUAGUCCAGCCUCCUACUACCUUUGGUGGUGUUUCAUUUACUGAAGUGGCCCCUAAUGCACUUUUUCUCUACUUUGGGUCAUGCUGCACUUGCAUAGACUCUGCCCCUACCUUUAGGGAGACCUGAGAGCAGACUUUCCCAGCCAAACAGAUGUUUCAUACCUUGGUGGGGGUUUUGGUCUUCUUUUCUCUUGGAUCCAUGUUUUCCUUACUGCUGAAAUACUUCUUGUUGCAUUCUGCACACCUUCCAUGUUUCAUCUACAGAUAAGCUUUUAUUUUCCUGCCUUCCUAUGUGCUCAGGCAUUGUCUCAGUUCUCCAAGUAGUCUGUCCCCACUUCCACCUCCUUACACUUCCUAUUAGGGUUUGAGCUCAGUCAGGAAUUCCCCCUAUGCGGAGCUGGCCGCCUGCCAUACUUGCUUGACUUCCUGCACAUCAGAAUGGUCUGUUCUGCUUUAAGAGGUUUUUCUUGGAGAUCAGCUGGCCUCCUAGAUCCCUUUGCCAUAGCUGCAGUGGGAUCCUGCCUGCCAGUUCCCUGCACAAGCAUAGAUCUGCUGUUCUGAAGCUCAAGAUCACUCUUCUGCUACCCACCUACCUCACUUCUUUCAGGAUCUUUAAAUCACCCUCAGGACUGCUGCAGCCAAGACUGUAAUCAACUUUCACCGCUUUAACUAGUUUAUCUACAUUAAUGAGUAGCAGAUUAGAGAGGUGCCUCUCCUAAUUGACUUGGCUAUAUCUUUUAUGAAGAAGGUGCCCUUCAGGAUAACUCUCUGGGAUUACUUACACCCUUCCUUGUUUCCCCCCCAGGCAGAUACUGGCAGGUGAACCCCCACAGAGGGAGUCAUAGAAUCAUUAAGGUAGGAAAAGGCCUCCAAGAUAAUGGAGUCCAACCUCUGACUGAACACCACCAUCAACUAAGUCACAGCACUAAGUGCCACAUCCAGUCAUUUCUUAAAUGCUUUCACAAAUGGUGACUCCACCACCUCCCUGGGCAGCCUGUUCCAAUGCUUAACCACCCUUCCAGUGAAGAAAUUCUUCCUGAUGCCCAGCCUGAGCUGCCCUGGCAAACCAUGAGUUUCUGUCCACUUAUCCUGUUUCUGACAGAAACAGGGCCUGCAGUCAAAAGGCUUCUCCUCUCAGCUGAUGACAGCUGAUUUCAUCAACUUUCUCCUGGUUUUGGUGGCCUGUAUCAGACCAUCCAUCCACCUGUCUGUCCAUCCCAGUAGUGCGAUCAUGUAAACUAUCCCACCCCCUCAGCUCCUAAAAAUAUCACAGUUUUGUGCCUGCAUGCAGACUUCCAGUUUCUUCUGUUUUGCAGUAUUUUUUGCAAAUCUCUGAUGUACAGGCCCUUCAAAGAUAGCCCAAACCUAGAGGGUGGGAAAGGGAGAGUCUUGGGAAGAGAGUAGGGACACUGGCUACUAUUUGUUCCUUUAUUUUCCUUUUCUGUGGAACAGGUUAUGGUGUCACAGUGUUAACCUUUUUGUGAAGCAAAGAAGCUGCUCCACUUGUGUAGGAAAUGUAAGGAAUGUAAUUCCUGGGUACUGUGAAUCCUAAGAAAAUACCUUUCAUAACCCCUGUCUGGGACAAGUGAGUGAGGCACACCAUAGGAGAUACAGACAUUUCUGAUCCGACUCUUUCAUGCUCAACUUCUGUGACACAGAAUGAUGCUGAUGUACGUCUUAGAGAUUGGUCACUCUGUGAUUGUUUUCAAAUGAAUUCCAGUUGAUUUACUUUAAUACGGUCUUUCACACACUUAAUACACUUGCACAAACACACAUUCUGUUUCUGUGAGAACUUCUGUUCAGCCUUCUUCAAGCAGAGUUUGCUUUUCUUCAGUGUUUUUCCAUACAGUGGACUGUGAAUGUCCGACAGUGGAUUUUAGAUUUAGUCAUCAAUGAAGAAGAAUGGAAGGAAACUUUCUUCCUCUCUCCAAAGUAAGGGAGCAGAAUCAGCUGGCAUUGGCCCUGUACUUCCUCCUCUUCUCAGAAGCUGGAAGAUUGCAGUUCCCACCUCCUACAUCCUCAUCUCUACUCAGAUGUGUGCAACUAUUGAUGAUUAGAAGUAAUUUUUUUUCAUGUCCAGGGUUCUUCAGGUGAAUUCCACCCAGGCUGUGAUAGCUCCAAAACUGACUAUUUGAAGAGGAACUAUCCUAGAACAAUUGCUGGGAGUUCAGUGCGCACUUCCCCUGAGCACUUCUCCAUAGCUAUGGAAGUUACGAUGUGCUCAUUGGAUGAGGUGUCUUAGUAACUUCUCUUUGAGGGGAUUUUACUGUACGUAGUUUGAGAGACUCUUUCUUAGAGAUGUGCUGUGUCCCUGGGCCAUACAGCUGCUGUGAGCAGAUUGCUCAGCUUUAUUCUCUCUUUUACUGCACCUGCCUAUAUCCAGCAGAGUGUGUGUAGCAAGGCUUGAUGGUGGUGAAAACAUUGCAAUAAAAUGGAUCAGUCUGGUGGCAGCUAUAAAAGCUUGGGAAGGACUGCCUUGCUGUGUCAUGUUAUUGCAUGCAGCCUGUCACACAUGAAGAUGGAAACAGCCUGUGAUUAGUGGAAUCCUUUUCAACAAGGAGUAGAGCUUUUGACAUGCUUUGACAGGACAAGAAUAUCUUACUGCAAUUUCCUCCAUUUACCACUUAUCUAAGGGCAUGUAUGUUUUGAUGAAAUCAUAAUUAUGUUGGGUUUUUUUCUUGUUUCUGUUGCUAAAAAUUUCCAGAGUAGUGUUUUGGGAUCAUUUUCUGAUCUGUAGUGUAAAGAAUGCUCUGUCCUUAUCUGUUUGUCCCUUGUUCUAUAUGGGCACUGAGGCUUUACAUGCAAACCAUUGUUUCCUUUCCUCUUCUUUGAGUAAUGUUUUUCAUCUAUUUUAUUAAACUUCUGACUCCUUAAAGCAUGACAUGAGAAGUCACAGUGUACAUUAAUGGUGACAGUAUUGUGGUAACAGGGUGUUUGGCCCAAAGUAGCUUUAAAUACCCAGGUCUAUCAAAGCAUGCUUUGCCUCCAUUCAUUCAUGUGUACACUUACUCUUCCACACCCACUGCUAGGUUGAGCUUUAUCCCUUCCACUGUCAAGCCAACUUCACCCUCUGAGCUGCACUGCAUUCUCUGAUGCCCUGGAGGAUUAGCUGUGUAUCUCAUAGCUUGUAUCUCAUAUCUCCACUCCAGCCUGGCACCUGGGGUACAUUUGUUGUCUAUCUCUGAUCCCACUCGGCACAUCAGUCUCUGUAGAGGAGCACAGAGGUAGAGCCUUGCUCCUCAGUGUGUUUCUGCUUUGUCCUGUCUCUUACAACCCCUCCUCAGGGGCCAAGGAAGUACAGCUGCCAGAGAACAUACCAGUGCCAUGGGAGGUAGACCUGAAGCACAGUGAGAGUGGAAUAAAGAGGCAGCCCAAACCCAGAUGACUUCUCUGCUUACCGGCACGAUAUAGCUGUGCUUCGGCCUUGGUUCAUCUCUUCCUCAGUUGAGGCAAAUACAGAGCUUCUGUAUUUCAGGAGAUGAAAGAUAGAAUGUACCAGCAAAGAGAAAGGGUUUUUCCUGGGAUUUCUUAUUUCUCUGGGGCAUGCCUCCAUGUAGAGAAUGUCUGAUAUACCAGUGUCUCCUUCCCUGCAGCAGUCUUGUCCCCAGCUAAGUCCACUGACACUUCCAAUCAAUCUCCUGGUUUGGAUAUGGUUAUAAAAAUGCAGCCGUAGCAUGGGUGUGAAAGAGCUGAACUGAUGCUUUGCUGAAGAGUCAUUUCUUAACUUGGAAAGUGCUUGUACUUGGAAUCCUAAUAACCUUUCAGUGUUGUUCAUGCUAGUAAACAAGCACCAAUAAAGAAGUGGUCCAAUAAGAUUGUUUUGUUCUUAGAUUGCACUUUUCAUAUACACAUUGAAGCUGAGGGCAUGCAUGACAUUUGUAAGGUCAACAGGAGAGUAGAUAGAGUUAAAUGAAAAGCUGAAAGCAGUAGUCAGUCAGUGUCAGAGCAUGGACAUCCCUAUCUUACCAAUGGAUUCUUCUUUGUGUUCAAACCAGGGACCCAUUUGAACACAGACUAAAUUUUGUAGCAAUAGUGAAACAGAGGUUGUUCAUGUAUCAAGUUACUGGUGUCUGUGUUAAUAUGGGCUAAUCAUUAUUCCUAAGGAGGGUUUUCCUGUUACCAGAAGAAAAGGUACUUUUCCUUCUCUCCCUGCUAUAGCUUUAUUGUUUCACUUGAAACAGAAGAUUUUUCAAAAAGCAGAGGGUACUGUGCUACCCUUAAUACAGUUAUGAAUAUGAAUUUAAAACAAAACUUCAUGUGAUUCAAAUGCAAAAUGUGAAUCUAUUUGGAACUGUAGUCACAUAACUGCAUUGUCAUCAUAGUGAUAGAAAAGAAUGUUCAAAACAGAUGUUUAAGAAAUGUGUUAGUUAUGCUGAAAAAUGCUCUGUGUUUCAUUUCUUACAGCAUAGAUCUGUCACCUGCUACAGAGGACUUUCUGAUAAUAUUUUGACUUCAUUAUUUAGGUGAACUUUUCUUGUUUAAUAUUUUGAAAAUUAUAGGGAAAAGCUUUCUCAUAAUUUCCCUCUUCUAGCUGAUCUUUUUUUGAAAUGUUGCCCAGUUUUAAGCAAAUGAAGCAGGUGAGCCAUACUCCCAUGUUUUAUUUUUCAAGGUAUGUGUGUCAUACCUUGCCACAUCAGUGGCAACUUUUGAGCUGGAGCAGAUACAGAACAUGUUUGCUACAGCUGGGGUUGAGGCCAAUCUCUGCUCUUGACCAUUUGGUUUCCAAACCCCUGUGGUGAUGGCUGAUAUAGCUAAUGCACAAAUGGUAUCCCACGAACAAUUUCCACACCUCAUUUGUCUUCCCCGCUGUGCAGACCUGCUUAAAAUAACAGCAUCCCUCAACCACAGUCUGGUUGUGGUGGCCUAACCCUGCAGUCAUUCAAACCACCUUGGUAAUUCCAGCACACCGUUCAUGCAUCGCUUGCUCAUCUCAACAGGGGCAUUCCCAUGCAAAGCUCUGAUGCUGACACUCGGUGUCUGUCUUUGUUCCUGUCUAGAAGGAUUUUCAUCCUUGUGUGUGGCCCCAGCUCCAUGAAGCUGCUGCUGAAGUUCCCACUGGCUUCAGUAGGGUUUGGCAUUCCCCAGUGGUUCUUUCCUUUUGCCUGUGUUUGUUCAGCAUGGGUUCAGCUCUGGUUUCAUGCUCAGCUCUCAUCUCUAGCUGUUCCUCUUCCAUUCUUGUCUCCUUAAAAGAUAAUAAAGGCACAGAAAUAGCACUUCAUAAAGUCUUCAGAGGGGUUCUUUUGUGGUUUCCUGGAGAGUCCAAGCUUGCGUCUUGCUUGCUUGUCAUUUUUUUUGGUUUUUUUGGUUUUCUUUUUCUUCUCCUCUCUUUUGAAACUUGUAUGCUGAAGGCUCAGCCUCACAGGAAACCAUCUUUAACAAACCACAGCAGCAGAAUUAUCACACGCCCCCCUCCCCAAAACCAUCUCAAAGAUCACAAAAGUGGCACAGUUUCACAGCCCUAAGAAUUUCAGCACUUUGCAGUGGGAAUGCACAUGCUGGGUAGGAAAUCCCAAGAUGUUCCACUAACUCUGCCUCAAAAAGAGCCAGUGCUCUUUAGGCUCAUAUCAAUUCCUCUUAGAGUGUUGAGGUAGGUGUUUUUUCUGGGGUGAGGAGAGAAGAGGUAUUGCUUCUACCUUCAUCAGAGUGAACUCCUAAAGGGCAGGAGUUCUUGUCCAGGUUGUGUGUGUGCUGAAGAGGUCACCUGUUGAUCAUGCUGGGAUUUUAUUAGAGUGGACAAAAAUUCAGCUGCCAUCUGGAACCUUUUUGAAGUUGCCAUUUGUUGUCUACUGUCAUAAUCUUUUUCUUACCCGUGCCUGGUGGCUUUUUAUUUUUAUCAGGAUGUCAGUUCAUGUAAUAGCAGUGCAGAACUGGGGAUUCCUUCCACUUACACUAGUGGUGCCCUGCUUUGGGAGUGUGCCAGGUAUCCAUAUCCAUGUUCUCUGUUCAUCUUUGUCCUCCACAAGCCUUUAUGGUUGGAUGGAAGUUUUUUCCUGCUGAAAGGUAAUGCUACCUGUCAGGCAUCCUUUUAACAUUCUUCUUCUGAUUAUAGGUAAUGCUGCUAUAUUGGCUAGUAAUGUACUGAGCACAACAAAAGAUCACUGAAAAUAUCCUUCUCAGCAAUGGAAUAUUUGCACAGAAAUUACAACAUCCUCAUGGAAUAAUAAGAGUUUGUUGCCACACCUGAGAAACGCCCCACCACAGAGUUAAAGGUGGGUAGUUACUGUGUACAUUUCUGUCUUGGACUAGUGGCUCAUGCCAGAGUGAAAAAGGAAACUGUGUGAAAACAUGAGAAUCCCAAGGCAGGAGAAAGAAGCCAUCUGUGUGGGAGAAGUUUGAUUUGAUGUAGUGAAUGUAGCAGCCAUGGUCUGUCAUUUGUUCAUGCUUCAGCACUGCCUUACAUCUCUAAAGCCUUCACACUUCUGUCUCUGGGGCUCAGAAAGAUGGUCUGAAUAUCAUCUCAGAGCGAUGAUCUGAAGCCUGUUCAUGGUUUGUACUUGUGCUGUCUGUGGUCCUGCAUUUUUCAACAAGCAGCCCCUGGUCAGAGAGUGGACAAGCAGCACCAAAAAUCUGUUCAGGAGAAAUGGCACAACCCACAUGGCUGUGUGAUGGGGCAGACUGGCCACAUGACUGCAAGACAAUGUCUGGCACAUGGCAGCUUUGACCACAGGUACGUAAUUCAGUUUCUGGAUGGGGAGACUGGGGGGAAAACCCAGAAGAAUUUAAGAAUCUGCUGAAAAGGAAAAAAACCCAAAAACUCUUGGUCCUCUGGCUGCACACUGAAUGAGAAAAAAAUCCUGUACACGUAAGAGUCCAAGUAACAAGCCAUCAAAGAGGCCACUCUAAGAUGAAAGUUUUUUUUCUUUUUCUGACAUGAGGUACCAGUGAUGAAAACUGCCAGAGGAUGUCGCAGUCAAUGACUUAAGGAUGGAAUUUCCACAUUGCUUGUGAGUCCCCUUGGUUAUACAGAGUGACGCCAGCCCUUUGGGGUUACACGAAUGUUGAUGGUUUUGUAACAGCCUUUAACACACAGGGAUUUUAUUUUGGACACCAGUACUCCCACCUUGGGAACAGAUUUGAGUGACGUUCCACGCUCCUUUGCAGGAAAUGUGGGAAAUCCUCUCCUGUUCCUGUAUAAUCAGAGGAGGUUGGUGAGAAGAGGAGGCUCGGUUGGCUCUCUGGAUGAAUGAAACUGCCCCUGCAAUGUUAUGUUGCCUUGGUGUGUUCAGAGAUGUUCUUUGGAACACUUCCAGAAGUGCACUUUAUCUUCCAGAAAUGAAAAGCUGUGUAUGGCCUUCUGUGUUCCCAGUAAUGCUGCAGAGAUUUUGUUCCUGGUUUCUCUGAGCCAGCAGUAGAUAGCAGGGUAAUAACACAAGCAGAUGGUAUUUCUGCAUGAGGUUCCUGUGGUUGGUAGUUUGCUUUUUAAAUGUGAACACCUCAAGACGACUCCUGCUCUUCUGACUCACUGUGCAGACGUGUUUAAAGUUGUUUAAAUUGGACCCCCCCAACCAACAAAAUAACAAAAAAAUCCACACCAACCCUUAGGUUUCCUCAGCCCCAAUCUCAGUAUUUCAGUUCCUGAUGUUAUUGGUGGUUUCUCCAGGUCAGUACUGAAAUACAUCAGUUGAGGCAAUUCCUCUAAUCUCUAGAAGGACUUUUUAACCUUUUAUUAUUUAUUAGAUACAAUAUCUGUCAAUUUAAGUAAAAUGGAGGUAUUAUGGUAUUGAAGUGACUAAUGGGAUUCUAGUGCUGCACUUGCAUUCCUGGGAUGGUUUGAAAAUCCAUGGUCAAAUAAAAGUUAAGCUGGAUGGGGUGAGAGCUCCCCAUUUCAGCAAGUUUUUGUGGCAUGGAAAGUUUAAAACCACAAUGUUGUAGGAAAAGUUUGUAGCUGUGGCAAUGAACGCUUCUUUUUUUCUGUCCCCCCAGGUUUAAUGAUAAAUACGUGUGUUCUACGCACACGCACGUGCGUGGCUGCUUGCAGAUCUUGUUUGAAUAAAUGGAAGUGUUUGUUGUGAUUUCCCAGGCAGCUGGUUGUCCUCAGGCUGUCGUUAACAAGGGAGCUGCUUGGCUUCCUGUGCGGUGUCCUGGCUGUCACUGCGCGUCGUGCAUGAUGAAAUCAGGGAAUUUCAGCGAGCCGGAGAAGGAAGUGAAUGUUCUGUGCGCCUGCGUGUCAUGGUCCAAAGUACCGGGUAAAACUGGUGGGGUGAGGUGAGGGCACGUUUAGAGAACUGCAGGAAGCAGCUCCUUUUCUCAAGCAAAUAGAUGCAAAAUCCCAGGAUUUUCAACACUGAAAAUCUCCACUGGUGGAGUUCUGUGAACCCAGCACAGCUGUGGUGUCUGCCUUCUGGCUCAGUGUGAAGCAAAUGCCAUGUUACACAGCUAGCAGGUGGUUAACCAAAGGGAAUUUCACUUUGCUGCAGAGAUGGGAAACCACAAUACGUGUGUCUUCCUCCAGGCUAUUCAGUGGGCAUUCACAGAAAAAAUCCUGGGUGUGGAAGAUGUGAGGAACAUAAUAAAAAAAUCAGGUUUAGGUUCCUCUAGUCCAUUCAGAGACUCCAUACAGCUCUGUUAAAUGGGUGGAGAGGGAUGUGCCACAGAUACCUUUGAACUCUUCUAUCUUUUUGUAGAAAUACCAAGAUACAUGAUUGGCAAGAGAAGUGGUGAGUGCCCCCUCCCUGAGAGUGUCCAAGGCUGGAUGGGGCUUUGAGCAACCUGAUCUGGUGGAAGGUGUCCCUGCCUGUGGCAGAGACUUGGAAUUGUGUGGUCUUUAGGAUCUCUUGCACCCCAAACCACUCCAUGAUAAUCAGACUCUAGUCAAAGUAUACUUGUUGUAGAGGGCACUACUGCCAAGCACCUUCACCAAAGGAUGAGUAUAGUAAAUAUAAUACUAUAUAUAAUAGUGUUAUAGAUACAUAUUAUAUUAUUGGCUUUUCACAAAUAUUAAAAUGAACGUUACAUGUAUAAGGUUAGAAAACUUUGUUGUAUUAAUGUAGUUCCUUCUCUUUCUGUUAUUGAUGAAACUUAGAAAUAGUGGUAUGAAAUAUAUUAGGCUGCAAAAUGAUAUUAAAGCAAAAACUACUUUUGUUUAUAUAACCUAGAGACUGAAAAAGACAGUCAGAAAUGCCCCCCUGCAUUCUUAGAUUAUCUUAUCCAGAUGAAGACAGCAGUCCUCCAAGUCCUCCAAGGGAGGAAUUUAUUGCACCUCUGUUAAUUUACCAAUUUACCCAAGAAGACUGAUCUAUUGGGAAGGGGGUGAGUUAAAAACUAAACAGAGAGAAACUUAAGAGGAAUGUUUGAAUUAUGUAUGAGAAUUUAUGAAUAUGUAGUAGGGUUCUGUUUUUAAGGGACAAUCCUUUGUUAGUAAGGUGUGCCCUUGGCUGAAUGCUGAGGCACCUGGCUGUAUCUGUACAUUUUACUUUAUUUCUAUCUCCUGAUUGUCUUUCAAUUAAACUUUUUAAAUUUUAUAUAAAAAAAAUGGGAGCCUCAUUUUUCACAAUAGUACAAUAGUAAAGCUAUUAAAAUUAAUUCCUCAAAAAAGCCCCUUUUAAAAGCAGUGAUACAAAACUGGAGGUUUUUGGACUCCUUGCUUUGUGCUGACAGUUCCAGGAACCACUCUGCUGAAUGGCAAACACUAACCAAAAUGUUUCUUCUGCUCAACUAAACUCAGUUAAAACUUAAGGCAUUAGGAAAAAUUAUUUGAAGGUUGCUUGCAAUUCAGAAAAUAUAACUGGUAAUUUUUCAGGUCUUGGGUUGUUUCUAAUAAAUAUUAUAAUUUUUGAGGGAUUUUAAAAGAAGGAGGAAAGGUAGAUGAAUGACCUGAAGCCAACUUUUUCUGCUUGCUUUUUACCAUAGGGACAUCUAUCCUUUCAAUUGGAUUGGACUUUUUGGUGUAUUUUACAGAAAUAAGUUGGGUAAAGAGACCUCUGGAUCCAGAAGAGCAUUACACAAUGUUGGACACCUUGUAAUUUCAGAAUGUUCUUUAGGUAGUUGGGCUGCAGUAAUGUUACAUGAGUACCAGCAAAUGAUUUACAGUCAUCAAAAUGAAUUGUGUUAUCUACAAAUCUGCUUUCUUGUCUCUCAUGUGUCAGUUUCCCAGAUACAGCUAGAGUGAACAGGACUAAAAUCAAUUAUACAAACCCCCAGGCCAAGAUGGAAUUUCUGUUGGAAUCUCCCAGAACAAGAAGAGGUAGAGAGCUUUCUUCCCUCUCUGUGUGUUCCAGAAUAUGAAACCUGAAAAGAGUCUAGGAGCAGCCUCUGACAGAGGGCAGUAACGAAUAAUAGACUGAGUGUGUAUUUUUUCUUCUAAUUUUAUUUCCCUGAGGAUUCCCCGUUGGCUUUCAUCAGUUAGUGAUUUAAAGACUUCCUGAGCCAGAUCCUGUCAUCCACACUCGUGCUUAAAAGCAAAUAGACAUUUCUUCCUUCAGUUCAUCUGAUCAUUUUUUAAUUCAUUUAUCCUUUUGCCAUCCAAAACAUCCCAUGGCAGUGAGCUCCCAAGCCUGAUUAUAGCUUUUGUUAUGAAAUGACCUUUUGGGUUGGGUUUGUUUGGGGAUUUCUUUUCACUUGAUACUGAAUCCCUGCAUUAUGAAAAGCAGCACGUACUAAUCUUCCAUUCACCACAUUGCUCACUCCUGAUUUGAUAAACUUCAACCAUCAGUCAUUUUUCUUCCUGCUGAAGAAGUUUGAGCUUGUUUGAUCUUUCCUUAGGUUAAAGCCUUUCUGUAUCUAUUUGGUUCCCUUCUGAUGUAUUUUGUAUGUUGUCUUUAUGUAAUUUAUUAGAAGGCAACUCAAGCUGUACAGUGGUGAUGAGAUAUGGAUUUAUAAGUUAGCACAAUGUCUUUGGUUUCUCUGUCCAAUUCCCAGCUGCUUUUUGUCAAAUGGUGCCUGAUCCCUGCCCUGGUUUGUUCAGGGAGCUUAAAACUAACCUGGAUACAGCCAAGGACUUAAUGUUUCCUGAAUGACUCACAGGAGAUACUCUGCCUAUGAGCUCCAGCUCAGACUGUGCCUGGAGUGGUGUGCCAAUGCAUAUCAGUUAAGACAAGGGCCUGUGAUUUUUACAGAAGCUGACUUGCCAGAGAGGGAGAGGAUGGGUUUAUAUGGUUGUUAUUAUACUGUUCUCUCCAAGUUCCAUGCCUGUUUUCCUUCCUUACCUCUCUCACCUCCCAAGCGAUACAACUCUCAAGAAACGGAAAGAAAAAUCUUCCCUAGAAUUGUGUUUGUUUUUUUUCUGAUUCCAAAGGAAAACACCCGAGCUCUGCUUCAAAAUAUCAAUAAUACCCAGUAUUACAAAAUCUUGAAGUGAUUACAAGAAAUCACUUUUUCUGAUUUUAAGAAGAGGAGCUGAAACAAAACAGGAAACUGAUCCUGACAGUCCAAUGUGUUUUGCAUGCAUGGAAUUAGAUUUCAAAUGCCUUCCCAAAAUUACACUUGAGGGAUGGAAAGUGCUGUGAUUUUUGCAGCAACUGAGGAGUUUCAUCAUUGGCUUUUACUAGUUUGAACUGCUUUGGGGUUUGGGGGAAUGCAGAAAAAAAAAUAAACUUUAAAAAUCAACUAUAUGUGCUGGUAUCAUUGAUUCUAUGAAACCUUUGGGCACCAGGUCACUUUUCAAGUGUACUGGAAAGUCCACAUAUAUGCUAGGAAAUGUAGGUUCAGAAAAGCUCUGGAAGGUGAUAGAAGAAAAUUACUGUAGUACUACUGAAGCUUUUAAUUAAUUUUUUGAAAUAAGCUUAAGAUGUUCUGAAGCACUAAUCCUACUCUGAAACAGUUCUUUUU